rnacentral:lncRNA from 1 species
AGCCUUACCUCGACCACUCUCUCCCAGAUCUUCAUAGAGUGACUCAAUAACUUAAUCCCCCUAUAGUUAUUGCAACUCUGAAUGUCCCCCUUAUUCUUAUAGAGAGGGACCAUGGUACUUCACCUCUACGCCUCGGGCAUCUUUGCCAUCUUGAAGAUUUCAUUAAACAAUCCCGUCAACCACCUUACACCAGCCUCUCCAACGAACAUCCAAAACUUCACCGGUAUCUCAUCCGGCCCCGUCGCCCUACCCCUUCGCAUCCUGCGGACAGCCUGUCUGACCUCUUCUACCUUAAAACGUCUACAAUAGCUAAAAUCCCGACAUUCCUCUGAGUGCUCCAGUUCCCCUAACACAAUAUCUCUAUCUCCUUCUUCAUUCAAGAGCCUAUGAAAAUACGACUGCCAUCUCUUCUUAAUGUGGCCGUCCUCCACCAACACUCUACCGUCCUCCCCCUUAAUGCACCUCACCUGAUCGAGGUCACGACCCUUUCUUUCCCUCGCCUUAGUAAGUCUAAACAACUUUUUCUCCCCUCCUUUCUCCUAUAACCCUGCAUACAAGCUCUCAAAAGCGGCCGUCUUAGCUGCCGAGACUACUGACUUCGCCUCCUUCCUCGCUAGCUUGUACUCUUUCCUGUUUACCCGCUUCUCCUCUUCGUCCUUACUUUCCACCAACUUAGCAUACGCCCCUUUCUUGGUCCCCACUUUCUUCUCCACCUCUUCAUUCCACCACUGAUCCCCCCGACGGUGCCCGGCCCGGCCCCUAGAAACACCCAACACC